rnacentral:tRNA from 1 species
GGGGGAUUAGCUCAGUUGGCUAGAGCGCUUGACUGGCAGUCAAGAGGUCACCAGUUCGACUCUGGUAUUCUCCACCA